rnacentral:rRNA from 1 species
GUGAGGAAUAUUGGUCAAUGGGCGCGAGCCUGAACCAGCCAAGUCGCGUGAGGGAGGACGGCCCUACGGGUUGUAAACCUCUUUUGCCGGGGAGCAACGGGCGUCACGUGUGGCGCCACUGAGAGUACCCGGAGAAAAAGCAUCGGCUAACUCCGUGCCAGCAGCCGCGGUAAUACGGAGGAUGCGAGCGUUAUCCGGAUUUAUUGGGUUUAAAGGGUGCGUAGGCGGACUGCCAAGUCAGCGGUAAAAUUGCGGGGCUCAACCCCGUCGAGCCGUUGAAACUGGCGGUCUUGAGUGGGCGAGAAGUAUGCGGAAUGCGUGGUGUAGCGGUGAAAUGCAUAGAUAUCACGCAGAACUCCGAUUGCGAAGGCAGCAUACCGGCGCCCGACUGACGCUGAAGCACGAAAGCGUGGGUAUCGAACAGG